rnacentral:rRNA from 1 species
CCUAAGUGUGGCAGCAGUGGGGAAUAUUGGACAAUGGGGGAAACCCUUAUCCAGCGACGCCGCGUGAGGGAAGAAGGUUUUCGGAUUGUAAACCUCUGUCAGUGGGGACGAUAAUGACGGUACCCACGGAGGAAGCCACGGCUAACUACGUGCCAGCAGCCGCGGUAAUACGUAGGUGGCAAGCGUUGUCCGGAAUUACUGGGUGUAAAGGGAGCGUAGGCGGGAUGUCAAGUCAGAAGUGAAAAUUAUGGGCUCAACUCAUAACCUGCUUUUGAAACUGAUAUUCUUGAGUGAAGUAGAGGCAAGCGGAAUUCCUAGUGUAGCGGUGAAAUGCGUAGAUAGUAGGAGGAACACCAGUGGCGAAGGCAGCCUGCCAAGCCAUGACUGACGCUGAUGCACGAAAGCGUGGGGAUCAAACAGGAUUAGAUACCCGGGUAGUC